UUAAGUUCAGCGGGUAUUCCUACCUGAUCCGAGGUCAACCUUAAAAAAUUGGGGGUUUUAUGGCAAAAACUACAGAACCUUCCAAAGCGAGAAAAAAUUACUACGCUCAGAGGCCACUGCGGCUCCGCCACUAGAUUUAAGGAACUACAAACGUAGACUCCCAACACUAAGCUAGGCUUAAGUGGUCAAAAUGACGCUCG
rnacentral:misc_RNA from 1 species